rnacentral:rRNA from 1 species
AAAAACAUCGCCUCCCGCAAAACUCAAUGUAUAGGAGGUCUUGCCUGCCCAGUGAACUAGUUUAAACGGCCGCGGUAUCUUGACCGUGCAAAGGUAGCGCAAUCACUUGUCUUUUAAAUGAAGACCUGUAUGAAUGGUGGAACGAGGGCUUAACUGUCUCCCCCCUUAGGUCAGUGAAAUUGAUCUGCCCGUGCAGAAGCGGACAUAAAAAUACAAGACGAGAAGACCCUUUGGAGCUUAAGACACCAAGACCAACUAUGUCAAAAACCUCUUACAACACAGGUUAAACUUAAUAGCCCCUGGUCCUAGUCUUCGGUUGGGGCGACCGCGGGGGAAAACAAAGCCCCCACAUGGAAUGGGGAAACCCCCCAAAACCAAGAAGCACACUUCCAAGGCACAGAACAUCUGACCACUACAGAUCCGGCCUAACGGCCGAUCAACGGACCAAGUUACCCCAGGGAUAACAGCGCAAUCCCCUCCCAGAGUCCCUAUCGACAAGGGGGUUUACGACCUCGAUGUUGGAUCAGGACAUCCUAAUGGUGCAGCCGCUAUUAAGGGUUCGUUUGUUCAACGAUUAAAGUCCUACGUGAUCUGAG